GAGGUGGUCACUUUACAUAUAUUGCUUAUAUCGCAUAUGUUAAUCCGUAUGUGCAUCCAUAUUUACGGCGAUACGCGAUUCCUUCAUAAAAUUUAUUUCAGUGUGGUCACGAGCCGUGGUUGUCAAUGCAGAAGCGCGCGCUGCGGUUUGUUUACAAACAAAGUUCAUAACAUAACCAAUCUUCAUCAACUCUGGUAAACAAGUUGGCUCGUACUUUUGUGACAAUCGUCAGUCACCUGUACUCGGACGUGCAAAUCCGUACCGGUGAUCCGCGGGAACAAGAUUUGGGGUGACCAAAACCUAAUUCAACCAGAUCUUUAACAACAAAUUCGGUGGCCUGUGUCUGGCCAGUGGUGUCCAGCCGAUCACCCGUGGCAACAACCAAGACGAGGUGGAGAAGGCCGUAUCCGGGAGGUAAUUUCUGUACAAGAUCAGUUUGCACACGUCCUUUCCGAUGCACGACUUUUACCGGUGCCACACGUGCAACACGACCGACCGGAACGCGAUCUUCGUCAGCUGUACCAGGACGUGUCACGCAGUUUUUUUUUUAAUAUUUGUAUUUUAAGUUUUUUUGGAUUGUUAUUUUUAAUGAAAAACAUAAAAUAAAACCCCCCUCUGCAUC